GCGGCGGGCUGGGACACGUCGCCGGAAUCUGCGUGCCGUUGUACACAUACACCGCAGACGGCACCGCGCCGCACAUCAGCGAGUUGCCGCUGAGGUCCACACGGAACAGACCCGUCAGCACGCUCCAGCCAGAGGGAACAGGCCCGGUUAGCAGAUUCCCGCUCAAGUCCAGCGUGCGCAGGUUGCUCAGCGCAGACCACUCGGCAGGCAGCUGGCCAGAGUACCGGUUGCCCAGCAGCUCCAGGCGAGUCAGAGACGUCAGGACACUCCACGACCGCGGUAACGUGCCCGUCAGGCUGUUGUUGGUGGCGCGAAUGGUGCUCAGGCUGGACACGAACGCCCACGACUCCGGCAAGGAGCCCGUGAGGUUGCGCUGGUUCAGCACCACCGUGGUGGGCUGUCCUGCCGUGCACGACACGCCCGUCCACGCAGCCGUGCAGGGGUCGCUGCUGGUGUUCCAGCCCAGAAUCGCAGCCGGCAACGGACUGGCCGUCACCCGCAGGUCCGCAAGCGCAUAGCCAAACGAAGGCGGAGGUGGAGACGGAGGCGCCGGCGAUGGAGGGGCAGGGCUGGGAGGCGCAGGGCUGGGAGGCACAGGAGGCGGAGACGGCGGGGACGGGCACGCCAGACCAACCUGCGUGCCGCUGCUCGUCACCGGACUGCCAGCAGCCCACGGCGUGGGGAUGCUGCCACACAGUGCGCCGUUAUUGUCCAGCCACAGGAGCUGCAGCGCGCCCAUGCCGCCAGGACCAGCCCAGGCGGCCGGAAUGGUCGAGUAGAAGCCGUUGCCCGACAGGUCCAGCUCCGUCAGACGCGUCAGCGCGGACCAAGACACAGGCAGCAGGCCGCCGAGGCCCGGCCCGUUGUUGGCCACGCUGACGUACUCCAGCUGCGUCAUCUGGGAGUACGAGUCCGGAAGCGUGCCCGUCAGCGUGUUGCCGCUCAACGUCACUGAGCGCAGCGUGCGCACUUGCACCAGGCUGGCCGGCAGGGGGCCAGCCAGCCGCGGCGAGGUGGACGGCAGGCUCAGGUCCACCACGUUGCCGCUGCCGUCGCAGCUGACGCCGUACCAGCUGGUGCAUGGGUUCGGAUGCAUCACGUCGUCCCAUGUGCUGAGCGCCGUGGAGUUGCCCAGCUCGUAUUUGACCUGCAGCAGCGCGUUGGCUGCAGUGGGCGGAGCGGGCGGCGCCGGGCUGGGCGGCGCGGGGCUGGGCGGCCGCGGGCUAGGCGGGUCCGGGCUGGGUGGCGUGGGGCUGGGUGGUGCCGGGCUGGGCGGUACAGGCGGCGCGGGGCUGGGCGGCACGGGCGAAGGGGGCGCCGGUGAGGGCGGAGGAGAUGGCGCUGGCGGCUCCGGGCUGGGCGGCAUGGGGGACGGCGGCUCUGGGCUGGGCGGUGCAGGUGAAGGGGGCGCUGGAGACGGCGGCACAGGAGGCGCAGGGCUCGGCGGUACCGGAGGUGCCGGUGACGGUGGCUCUGGGCUGGGCGGUGCAGGUGAAGGGGGCGCUGGAGGCGCAGGGCUGGGAGGAACAGGCGGCGCAGGGCUCGGGGGCGCUGGGCUGGGCGGCACAGGCGACGGAGGUGGGCUGGGAGGCGUAGGCGGAGGCGGCGGGCUGGGACACGUCGCCGGAAUCUGCGUGCCGUUGUACACAUACACCGCAGACGGCACCGCGCCGCACAUCAGCGAGUUGCCACUGAGGUCCACGCGGAACAGACCCGUCAGCACGCUCCAGCCAGAUGGAACAGGCCCGGUCAGCAGAUUCCCGCUCAGGUCCAGCGUGCGCAGGUUGCUCAGCGCAGACCACUCGGCAGGCAGCUGGCCAGAGUACCGGUUGCCCAGCAGCUCCAGGCGAGUCAGAGACGUCAGGACACUCCACGACCGCGGUAACGUGCCCGUCAGGCUGUUGUUGGUGGCGCGAAUGGUGCUCAGGCUGGACACGAACGCCCACGACUCCGGCAAGGAGCCCGUGAGGUUGCGCUGGUUCAGCACCACCGUGGUGGGCUGUCCUGCCGUGCACGACACGCCCGUCCACGCAGCCGUACAGGGGUCGCUGCUGGUGUUCCAGCCCAGAAUCGCAGCCGGCAACGGACUGGCCGUCACCCGCAGGUCCGCAAGCGCAUAGCCAAACGAAGGCGGAGGUGGAGACGGAGGCGCCGGCGACGGAGGGGCAGGGCUGGGAGGCGCAGGGCUGGGAGGCACAGGAGGCGGAGACGGCGGGGACGGGCACGCCAGACCAACCUGCGUGCCGCUGCUCGUCACCGGACUGCCAGCAGCCCACGGCGUGGGGAUGCUGCCACACAGUGCGCCGUUGUUGUCCAGCCACAGAAGCUGCAGCGCGCCCAUGCCGCCAGGACCAGCCCAGGCGGCCGGAAUGGUCGAGUAGAAGCCGUUGCCCGACAGGUCCAGCUCCGUCAGACGCGUCAGCGCGGACCAAGACACAGGCAGCAGGCCGCCGAGGCCCGGCCCGUUGUUGGCCACGCUGACGUACUCCAGCUGCGUCAUCUGGGAGUACGAGUCCGGAAGCGUGCCCGUCAGCGUGUUGCCGCUCAACGUCACUGAGCGCAGCGUGCGCACUUGCACCAGGCUGGCCGGCAGGGGGCCAGCCAGCCGCGGCGAGGUGGACGGCAGGCUCAGGUCCACCACGUUGCCGCUGCCGUCGCAGCUGACGCCGUACCAGCUGGUGCAUGGGUUCGGAUGCAUCACGUCGUCCCACGUGCUGAGCGCCGUGGAGUUGCCCAGCUCGUAUUUGACCUGCAGCAGCGCGUUGGCUGCAGUGGGCGGAGCGGGCGGCGCCGGGCUGGGCGGCGCGGGGCUGGGCGGCCGCGGGCUAGGCGGGUCCGGCCUGGGUGGCGUGGGGCUGGGUGGUGCCGGGCUGGGCGGUACAGGCGGCGCGGGGCUGGGCGGCACGGGCGAAGGGGGCGCCGGUGAGGGCGGAGGAGAUGGCGCUGGCGGCUCCGGGCUGGGCGGCAUGGGGGACGGCGGCUCUGGGCUGGGCGGUGCAGGUGACGGGGGCGCUGGAGACGGCGGCACAGGAGGCGCAGGGCUCGGCGGUACCGGAGGUGCCGGUGACGGUGGCUCUGGGCUGGGCGGUGCAGGUGAAGGGGGCGCUGGAGGCGCAGGGCUGGGAGGAACAGGCGGCGCAGGGCUCGGGGGCGCUGGGCUGGGCGGCUCCGGAGAAGGCGGCACAGGAGGCGCAGGGCUGGGAGGAACAGGCGGCGCAGGGCUCGGAGGCGCUGGGCUGGGCGGCACAGGCGACGGAGGCGGGCUGGGAGGCGUAGGCGGAGGCGGCGGGCUGGGACACGUCGCCGGAAUCUGCGUGCCGUUGUACACAUACACCGCAGACGGCACCGGGCCGCACAUCAGCGAGUUGCCACUGAGGUCCACGCGGAACAGACCCGUCAGCACGCUCCAGCCAGAGGGAACAGGCCCGGUCAACAGAUUCCCACUCAGGUCCAGCGUGCGCAGGUUGCUCAGCGCAGACCACUCGGCAGGCAGCUGGCCAGAGUACCGGUUGCCCAGCAGCUCCAGGCGAGUCAGAGACGUCAGGACACUCCACGACCGCGGUAACGUGCCCGUCAGGCUGUUGUUGGUGGCGCGAAUGGUGCUCAGGCUGGACACGAACGCCCACGACUCCGGCAAGGAGCCCGUGAGGUUGCGCUGGUUCAGCACCACCGUGGUGGGCUGUCCUGCCGUGCACGACACGCCCGUCCACGCAGCCGUACAGGGGUCGCUGCUGGUGUUCCAGCCCAGAAUCGCAGCCGGCAACGGACUGGCCGUCACCCGCAGGUCCGCAAGCGCAUAGCCAAACGAAGGCGGAGGUGGAGACGGAGGCGCCGGCGACGGAGGGGCAGGGCUGGGAGGCGCAGGGCUGGGAGGCACAGGAGGCGGAGACGGCGGGGACGGGCACGCCAGACCAACCUGCGUGCCGCUGCUCGUCACCGGACUGCCAGCAGCCCACGGCGUGGGGAUGCUGCCACACAGUGCGCCGUUGUUGUCCAGCCACAGGAGCUGCAGCGCGCCCAUGCCGCCAGGACCAGCCCAGGCGGCCGGAAUGGUCGAGUAGAAGCCGUUGCCCGACAGGUCCAGCUCCGUCAGACGCGUCAGCGCGGACCAAGACACAGGCAGCAGGCCGCCGAGGCCCGGCCCGUUGUUGGCCACGCUGACGUACUCCAGCUGCGUCAUCUGGGAGUACGAGUCCGGAAGCGUGCCCGUCAGCGUGUUGCCGCUCAACGUCACUGAGCGCAGCGUGCGCACUUGCACCAGGCUGGCCGGCAGGGGGCCAGCCAGCCGCGGCGAGGUGGACGGCAGGCUCAGGUCCACCACGUUGCCGCUGCCGUCGCAGCUGACGCCGUACCAGCUGGUGCAUGGGUUCGGAUGCAUCACGUCGUCCCACGUGCUGAGCGCCGUGGAGUUGCCCAGCUCGUAUUUGACCUGCAGCAGCGCGUUGGCUGCAGUGGGCGGAGCGGGCGGCGCCGGGCUGGGCGGCGCGGGGCUGGGCGGCCGCGGGCUAGGCGGGUCCGGGCUGGGUGGCGUGGGGCUGGGUGGUGCCGGGCUGGGCGGUACAGGCGGCGCCGGGCUGGGCGGCACGGGCGAAGGGGGCGCCGGUGAGGGCGGAGGAGAUGGCGCUGGCGGCUCCGGGCUGGGCGGUGCAGGUGAAGGGGGCGCUGGAGACGGCGGAACAGGAGGCGCAGGGCUCGGCGGUACCGGAGGUGCCGGUGACGGUGGCUCUGGGCUGGGCGGUGCAGGUGAAGGGGGCGCUGGAGGCGCAGGGCUGGGAGGAACAGGCGGCGCAGGGCUCGGGGGCGCUGGGCUGGGCGGCUCCGGAGAAGGCGGCACAGGAGGCGCAGGGCUGGGAGGAACAGGCGGCGCAGGGCUCGGAGGCGCUGGGCUGGGCGGCACAGGCGACGGAGGCGGGCUGGGAGGCGUAGGCGGAGGCGGCGGGCUGGGACACGUCGCCGGAAUCUGCGUGCCGUUGUACACAUACACCGCAGACGGCACCGGGCCGCACAUCAGCGAGUUACCACUGAGGUCCACGCGGAACAGACCCGUCAGCACGCUCCAGCCAGAGGGAACAGGCCCGGUCAACAGAUUCCCGCUCAGGUCCAGCGUGCGCAGGUUGCUCAGCGUAGACCACUCGGCAGGCAGCUGGCCAGAGUACCGGUUGCCCAGCAGCUCCAGGCGAGUCAGAGACGUCAGGACACUCCACGACCGCGGUAACGUGCCCGUCAGGCUGUUGUUGGUGGCGCGAAUGGUGCUCAGGCUGGACACGAACGCCCACGACUCCGGCAAGGAGCCCGUGAGGUUGCGCUGGUUCAGCACCACCGUGGUGGGCUGUCCUGCCGUGCACGACACGCCCGUCCACGCAGCCGUGCAGGGGUCGCUGCUGGUGUUCCAGCCCAGAAUCGCAGCCGGCAACGGACUGGCCGUCACCCGCAGGUCCGCAAGCGCAUAGCCAAACGAAGGCGGAGGUGGAGACGGAGGCGCCGGCGACGGAGGGGCAGGGCUGGGAGGCGCAGGGCUGGGAGGCACAGGAGGCGGAGACGGCGGGGACGGGCACGCCAGACCAAUCUGCGUGCCGCUGCUCGUCACCGGACUGCCAGCAGCCCACGGCGUGGGGAUGCUGCCACACAGUGCGCCGUUGUUGUCCAGCCACAAAAGCUGCAGCGCGCCCAUGCCGCCAGGACCAGCCCAGGCGGCCGGAAUGGUCGAGUAGAAGCCGUUGCCCGACAGGUCCAGCUCCGUCAGACGCGUCAGCGCGGACCAAGACACAGGCAGCAGGCCGCCGAGGCCCGGCCCGUUGUUGGCCACGCUGACGUACUCCAGCUGCGUCAUCUGGGAGUACGAGUCCGGAAGCGUGCCCGUCAGCGUGUUGCCGCUCAACGUCACUGAGCGCAGCGUGCGCACUUGCACCAGGCUGGCCGGCAGGGGGCCAGCCAGCCGCGGCGAGGUGGACGGCAGGCUCAGGUCCACCACGUUGCCGCUGCCGUCGCAGCUGACGCCGUACCAGCUGGUGCAUGGGUUCGGAUGCAUCACGUCGUCCCACGUGCUGAGCGCCGUGGAGUUGCCCAGCUCGUAUUUGACCUGCAGCAGCGCGUUGGCUGCAGUGGGCGGAGCGGGCGGCGCCGGGCUGGGCGGCGCGGGGCUGGGCGGCCGCGGGCUGGGCGGUACGGGUGAUGCAGGUGGUACUGGGCUGGGCGGUUCAGGCGCCGGCGGAUUUGGGCUUGGCGGCGCCGGGCUAGGAGGGCUGGGGCUAGGAGGCGCCGGCGAAGGUGGCGGCAAAGGAGAGGGAGGGUCCGGACUUGGUGGCGCAGGGGACGGCGGCACCGGGCUCGGCGGUACAGGGCUGGGCGGCGCUGGGGAAGGCGGCUGUGGAGGCGCCGGGCUCGGCGGUAAUGGUGGAACUGGGCUGGGCGGUGUCGGGCUGGGAGGCACGGGCGAUGGCGGAACAGGCGGUGCAGGAGACGGCGGCUGCGGAGGAUCUGGAGAUGGAGGCGUAGGGGAAGGUGGCAUAGGUGACGGCGGUACAGGCGGCGCUGGUGGCGACGGUGAAGGUGGGUCCGGAGAAGGCGGUGCAGGAGACGGGGGUGGGAGUGGAGCAGGCGGCUCGGGCGAUGGUGGCGCGGGGCUGGGUGGCAUCGGACUCGGCGGAUGCGGGGUGGGAGGUACGGGUGGUACCGGAGACGGCGGUACAGGCGGGGACGGGCUGGGAGGAAUAGGCGACGGCGGGUUGGGACUGGGUGGUUGCGGGGAUGGUGGAUGAGAGGGCAGCGGUGGCGGUGGUACUGGCGGCAGCGGAGGCGAGGGUGGUGGCGGCGGGCUAGGACAAGGUGAAGGUAUGGUUGUCCCAUUGUACACAAAGUUCGCUGCGGUAGUCGCCGGCAGGGCACCACACAUUGUGUUGUCGCUCAGCUGCAGGCAGAUGGGGUCACAUGGAAACUUACGAGGCGGCCGGCACAUAUCAAAAAGCAUCGUGUUCUGACUACUUGAUAUUUACCCCAACCAGGUCGCUCGAUGCAGCUGCACUAUGCUGGUAAACGACGGCCCUCACCUGAAUGCGAGUAGUCUGUGUCAGGGCGCUCCAUGUAGAUGGGACAGGCCCCGUCAGGCCGUUCCCACCCAGGUCCAAGGUGCGAAGAUUAGUAAGCGUGGACCACUCGGCAGGCAGCUGGCCCGAGAAAGCGUUGCCCAGUAGCUCCAGGCGAGCCAGCCCGAUCAACCCCGCCCACUGCCGCGGUAGCGUCCCACUCAGGCUGUUGUUGUUCAUGCGGAUGCUGGUCAGGCUCGUCACAUACAGCCACGAGCUCGGCAAGGAGCCAGUCAACCCGCGCUGCAGCAACAGAACACCGGAGGGUUGCCCGGCCGUGCAGGAAACACCUGUGCACAGAAUGUCAAACGGGCCAUGUGAAAACCGGUACGUCAGCAGGUAAAGGCGGUGAGUAAACAGACGCAAAACGUCGCUAUGCCCUCCGUGGGUUCUUCGCACCUGUCCACGCAGCCGUGCAGGGGUCGCUGCUGGUGUUCCAGCCCAG
rnacentral:lncRNA from 1 species